rnacentral:lncRNA from 1 species
GGAGAUCUGGAUCUGCCUAGGAACAGCUCUGGCGGGCACGCAGCGGCCCCGAGCAGCCGGGCUGUAGGUGCCUUCUCCACAUUCCUUCUCGGGGAGCGGAGCCCUCUAAAGCCACGCUCUCAUCCCGACGUUCUCAAGUAUGGUUUGCGGUGAACUGAGAGCUCAGACAUGACUGUUUGCUUGUUAAGCUUGUUCCUCAUUGCAAGCCCGAAGAAAAACCUGCCAAAAAUCACAUUACUGAGUCAUCAGGACCUCCAAACGGCUCUAAGUGGAGGAGCCAGUCAAGCUGCACGAGUCAUAUUCAGGCUGAAAUAGCCGCGUCGUGAUGCUAUUACAGACACGCAUUUGCUUUGUAUGUGCUUCCAAAGUGUAUCCAGGCUGAAGAAUCAGAAGGGAAAGCAUGAGUUGAACACCAAAAGAGCACUUUGAACAGGUUUUUUUUUUUUCUGUGGGGAAUUAAAUUGCAAAGAUUAUCAGAGGCUGAUGCGGAAACUCAGACAAGCUACAGCUGAGGAGGCACUAACUCCAUUGUUUGCACACAUUCAGCUAUGACUCGAGUUCUCUGCACGCCCUUGGCCAAUCCAGGUUGCUAUUACAACUCCUUCUGAGUUCUCUGCAGCAUCCGUAAGGCUUGGACUCCCCACCAAAGUAUUCAGAAUCCCAUGUUUUUGCCAGCUCAAGGAGCAAUUUCAAGGCCCCAAAUCAGACCAGUGGACAGGCCUGAGAUUCCUGUGGCCUCCUGAUGACCCCUCUCCACUUGUACGACUCCUGAUUUAUGUGGCUUUAAAAGGGCCAGUGUCCCACCUGGUAUUGGGCACCCUUGAUGUAUAAAAGUGACAGCCAUGCACAAUGACAUAUUAUUGGCUUGGGCUGGUAAAUGAGGAGGC